CCUACGGGUGGCAGCAGUGGGGAAUAUUGCGCAAUGGGCGAAAGCCUGACGCAGCGACGCCGCGUGAGGGAUGAAGGUCUUCGGAUCGUAAACCUCUGGCAGCAGGGAAGAACGGUCACGGGGCUAAGCAGCAGUGAAUUGACGGUACCUGCAAAGGAAGCACCGGCUAACUCCGUGCCAGCAGCCGCGGUAAUACGGAGGGUGCGAGCGUUACUCGGAAUUACUGGGCGUAAAGCGCGCGUAGGCGGUAUGUCAAGUCAAGGGUGAAAUCCCCGCUCUCCACGUGGGAACUGCCUGUGAAACUGGCAAUCUGGAGUGUGUGAGAGUAUAGUGGAAUUCCAGGUGUAGUCGU
rnacentral:rRNA from 1 species